rnacentral:sRNA from 1 species
UAUCGGUCAUUACGUUGUUAAUUUAAUG